UACGAAGGGGGCUAGCGUUGCUCGGAAUCACUGGGCGUAAAGCGCACGUAGGCGGAUUGUUAAGUCAGGGGUGAAAUCCUGGAGCUCAACUCCAGAACUGCCUUUGAUACUGAGGAUCUUGAGUUCGGGAGAGGUGAGUGGAACUGCGAGUGUAGAGGUGAAAUUCGUAGAUAUUCGCAAGAACACCAGUGGCGAAGGCGGCGACCUGGUCCUUGACUGACGCUGAGGCGCGAAAGCGUGGGGAGCAAACAGG
rnacentral:rRNA from 1 species